CUUUUUAUUUUUUCGAAUUCAUGUUCGAAAACACAAGCUUCCAUAACAAGAACCCGUACCGAAGAAAAGUUCCAUCGACUAAAAAGAAAAAAGAAAACGAAGCAAGACCUCGACGACAACAACACAUCAAAGAAAGACGACCAGCUGAUUAUGUUCUUAGAAUUCCACACACCCGCGAGCCGAUCCGCAAACGUCGUGCGAGGCGCGCUUUCUCUGGCUCGACACAAUGAUCACACCGCACGCUAUAGACACGUCGUCGUGGACGACGAUGACCUCAGGCCACGAAUGACAACCAACAUGGGCAAAGUCCAAUUAGCCAAAAAGACGACGAUUCUAAGAAUUGAUGAAUCCUCGAUAUACGCCUAUCGAUAGGUUUCAAUUGUGUCAUAUACAUCAAAUGAAAAACAGGACGCACGAUAAAAGCUUCCUUACAGCAUAACUGUAACAUACGAUCAUGGAACAUCUCCUCACAUACCUUUCUCCUCUCACAUAGGAAAACAAAACUCUUUUUUUUCUUUCCUGUCAAGGAAAAAAUCAAUGUACCACCACAUCACUUUCUCCUCGGUCCCGGCGACGGAUGGGCGCGCACGCGGACAAAGACCCACCGGCCACUUCCACUUAUUUUUUGUUGUUAAUCGUCUUCUCCCCCGCACGCGGACGACCACCAACGCUAGCUGCUCAUUCCGUCAACCAGUCACACCGCGCACGGAGAAGGGGCCGGGGUCCGCGGGCACCCGCGGCGGAGGCGCGGUUCCCUCUCUCUAAUUCCCUGGAAAACAAGUAAUGACAAACAAAAAGACGACAAAAGGUCUCUAUUCUGCUACAUGAGAGAAAUUAUAGCUGUUGGCAAUUUUUCAAAAUACAUGUUAUAAGGCAUCCUCUCUGCCACACGCGCAGUCACGGAUAGGAUCAGUGCGUAUUCAUUAUAAAAAAAAACACAAACAACCCAUAUAUGUGAAGCAGAAUGAUGACCGACCGCACGGAGCGACGCCGUCGACUGUCAGCCUCGCGAGGAGACACCGCGGACCGGGGAAACGGAUAAGUUUACGAACAGAAAUCUCAAAAGACGCUGACCCGAUAAGUACCGUCACGGAGACACGGUGGUUUUUUAUUGAAUUUCCAGUGUAUCGAGCCACCGUGAUGCAGGUACGGUGGUUUUAUGUAAAGUGCCGCUAUCUAUAGGCGAUGUGUUCCUGACGGUGUGUGUUUUUUUGGGGAUAGACAACGUGGUUCUUGUACGUGGUUUUUACCCUGCUCAAUAAAGUCA
rnacentral:misc_RNA from 1 species